rnacentral:miRNA from 1 species
ACGAAUGUAUUCCUUCCACUCGUGAGCUCAUUUACCAUUGUCACAUAUAGUAAAUGUCCAGGCCUUGUGACAAUGGUAAAUGAGCUCACGAGUGGAAGGA